rnacentral:SRP_RNA from 1 species
GCCAGGAGUGGUGGCACACACCUGUAUUCCCAGCUACUCUGGAGGCUGAGGUGGGAGGAUCACAUGAGCCCAGGAGGCUGAGGCUGCAGUGAGCCAUGAUUGGACCACUGCACUCCAGCCUGAGCAACAGAGUGAGACCCCGUCUCAA